CGCGUAGGCGGCUUGGUCAGUCCCGUGUGAAAUCCCUCGGCUCAACUGAGGAACUGCACGGGAAACUGCCUGGCUUGAGUUCGGGAGAGGGAAGCGGAAUUCCGGGUGUAGCGGUGAAAUGCGUAGAUAUCCGGAGGAACACCGGUGGCGAAGGCGGCUUCCUGGACCGACACUGACGCUGAGGCGCGAAAGCUAGGGGAGCAAACG
rnacentral:rRNA from 1 species